rnacentral:rRNA from 1 species
GUCUACGGCCAUACCACCCUGAACGCGCCCGAUCUCGUCUGAUCUCAGAAGCUAAGCAGGGUCGGGCCUGGUUAGUACUUGGAUGGGAGAAAAGGAUAAUCU